UCAGCAUGUAAAAGUAUUAGCACCAAACUCCGACUUUAAUUGAGGCUGAUAAGAAUGUCAUUAUUUUUACAGGCAUGUCAUAAACCAGAGUUUUGGCCAAUUUAAAACUCUGAAAUGAUGAUUGAUGGCACCAGAUAAAAAAGUCAUAACUGUUUCGACCAGAUUUCAUGACAAUCCAUCUAAAUGUUGAGAUCAUUUAGUCUGGGCCAAAGAGGUGGAGCGACCAAAGAGACCAACAUUUAUACACCCCGAGAUCCAUAGGGCUAGCAUGGCUAAAAAUCCCGCUUUCCGACCCAUUUAAUGACAUUGAAACAUCUUGACCUGCCAAACCAAACUUGACCUACUUGGAUGCAGGAGUGUUUGAGAGGCAGGCACGAGAGAAAGGCAAAACCAGCCUGCCGUGUUAUCUUAUUUGCUCUUUGAUAACAAUGUUAAACAGUAAUAGAGAUACACUUUGGUGCAUAGCAGGACUCUUUAUCAUACUAAAUUUACAAAAACAGUUUAUACUUGAAUGCUUUUAUAAGGAAGGAGAGGGGGAGCACAUCAAAAAGCCUAAGAUGAAGGCAUGUUGGUUUGAUUACUGACCGAGACCACGGUGAAGGCACAGUUUAUUACGCCUGCUCCUAUGGUGGCAUAGACUGGACUCUGGACUCCUGCCUUUAUGAAGAUACUGGUGGAGUAGUAGAAAAUCUGGCCAGAGGGACAGCUGCUGGGAGAGCUGCAGCAGGAUAGAAAUGAUGAUGGGCUGGCGGUACAGUGGAGAGCGAAAGAGCUCCAGGAUGGACACCUUCCUCUCCAUUUCCAUCUUCCUCUUCUCCUCCUUCAUCUCUGCCAGCAUGUCGCCGACCUCCUGCCUACCCGUCAGCCUCCUCAGGCCUGCACAAAGGAGGCGUGUAAGGAGUUGAGUAUAAGUAAGACUGAAGGAGUUGAUUCCCCCCCCCACAAAUAUCUUCAGAAACAAGUGAGCCAGGAGGAAAAUAAUAGACCUUCAAAAUACUGCAUGAGGUGACUGGACUGAUUGAAGAUAUCAUUUUUGAAGAAAUCUGUUAUACAAACUAAAGCUGCUAACUUUCUGUGUGCUGGACCACUUUAGCUUUGACCUUAAAGAUGUCUUCAGACCAGUAUGAAGUACUCACCUCUCUUGGCCUGGUGCUCCUGGCAGCGGACGAUGUAGAGGAAGCGGGGGCUCUCGGGGCAGAAAGGCAGAAAUGACAUCUGAAGUACAGUCGGCACGACAGUUAAACCCAACAGGACUGGCCACAACUCCUGACUGCCCAGUAACACCUCCAGACCCAGGAUCUGCACACGGAGAAGGAUCAGGUGUAAAGACAUACGAUUUUAAAAUAUAUAAAACAUUUCCAGAAAAGGCUAUUACAAAAUAUUUAUAUCAAACAUUAAACUCCAGGGAACAUGGUGGUUCUAGACAUUUUCUCAUAAAUUAACCACAUAUUUUAAUUUCAGACUAUUUUUGAAGAUUCUUUCUGAUGAUUUUAACAUUUUAACUUUGUCCAAACAGAAGAGAGGUUUUAUUAUCUGCGCUGUCACACCUGUGCUAUGAGAAUACCAGUGACUAUAGCCAGUUGGUGCAGCGUGCCCAGUGCCCCUCGCAGACUUGUGGGAGCUAUCUCUCCCACAUACAUCGGUGUCAAGCCUGAUGCUAAUCCUGCACAGAGGAAAAGUUGGAUAAGAGACAGGAACUUUCUACCAGAUGUGAAGGAGAUGACUGACUGCAAAACAGCAAAAGAAUACAGGCUCACCACAGUAGGCACCGAUGAUAAAGCGUCCGAGGAUCAUCAUUUCAAAGGAGCGGCAGAGCUUGGACAACGCCAUCAGACUUCCACCAAUGAAGGCGAACAAGUUGUUUAUGAGCAUGGCUUUCCUCCUGGAAAAGAUGUUACACAUUCUCACUCUGAAUCCCAUCUAAUAUAUAUAUAUAUUUCAUUAACCAUGAGUCUCAGAUAUCAUCAUCAUCCAGGAGGUUAACUGUAGCUCAAACACUGUUAAUAGUAAAUUAACUUGAGAAUCAGAUUUCAUUGCUGAAGGGGCUUUUUGUAAAAAUAACACAAGAUGCAUAAAUAUCCUGAGAAAGAGGCUGGUGUGUUCAUAGUAAGUUUGACAAUGAUAUUUCACUUCACGGAUUAUUUCUGUCUAGCUCUGCUUAUAUGUGCACAACACAUGGAAAGAUAUUUCAGCCUCCAGAGGGCAGUGUCAUACAAAAACAUGUAAGGCUUUAGUUAGUUGCUUCCUUAAUCCCUGACUGACAUUAGUAGUUAUCCUUAAACAACCUUAAAGCCUUGAGUGUCUGCAGUGCAGUGUAAUUUGCUAUUAUUCAGUUUCAUUUAGAGUUAUUUUUUAGAUUAUGAUCAUUAUGAGUCGUGCCAAAAAGUUAUGCUAAUGUUGUGCAACAAAUUGACAGAGGCAGGCAUUUGGUUCAAACCAGGGGCCACCUAUACCAAAUAGCUUCAUCAAGAUAUUAAAUUAAAGAUCCCCCAGACAUGUUAUACAACAUGUAAUUUAAAAUUCCAAAAAUGGCAUCUGCUCUUUCUAUCCCACUAAAAAACCCAGAAUCCACAGAUAAAUUAUAUAUAUUUGAAUAUUUAUUAAUAAUCUUCAUACAGAUCAUUUUUUAUUUCAGAAUUAACUGCUGGACUCAAGAUGUCUCCUACUUAAAGUCCAAUCUCAGUGUAUGUGCAUUACAUGUUUCAAGUUUCCACACACUUGUGUAAGUUGCAUUUUGGAUCCUGAUUGGCUUCCAGACCACUGACACUUUAUAUAAUUUAGUUGUGAAGACAGAAAAUCUUCAAUCAAUUAGACUGAGAUUUAAGGUAAGAAGAGAGAAACUUUCCACUUUCAGCAGAGGAAUGUGAGCAACUCUGCACAUACAUCAUUCUGCACAGUGAAGUUCAAACACCAAAGGGAAGUAACAAUACAUUUGUUUAGGAGGACCUUGUCCUGAGCGCACCCAUGGUGGAACGCUGCCACAAACCGACCCUCACUCCUCCUCACACCCCUCCUGACCCAGUGCUGCCAGCUCUGUAAAGAUCCACUUUCAGCCAGUGGAAGCUGUGGGCUGCAGUCCAGCUCAGGUUACAGAUGGAAACUGGGUCGACACGGAACAUUGUGGGCAGAGUUUCCCCCUUAGUGACAAGAGACUGGAGGUUGGGAUCCAUUUUGGAUCCAUGCAGAGGUGGAAAGGAGACGUUGCUGUAUGAUGACUCAUAGAGUUGGCCACUGACAUAUUUCUUAAUUAUUGUCUAAGCAAAUGGUUUUUUUUUUGUCCUGUUAACUGCCUCAUAACACCUUAGAUUUAUUUUGUGACCACCCACGGGUGGGUUAUAAAACUUUUUAAAAAAUG